AUUGAACGCUGGCGGCAUGCCUUACACAUGCAAGUCGAACGGCAGCACGGAGCUUGCUCUGGUGGCGAGUGGCGAACGGGUGAGUAAUAUAUCGGAACGUACCCUAGAGUGGGGGAUAACGUAGCGAAAGUUACGCUAAUACCGCAUACGAUCUAAGGAUGAAAGUGGGGGAUCGCAAGACCUCAUGCUCGUGGAGCGGCCGAUAUCUGAUUAGCUAGUUGGUAGGGUAAAAGCCUACCAAGGCAUCGAUCAGUAGCUGGUCUGAGAGGACGACCAGCCACACUGGAACUGAGACACGGUCCAGACUCCUACGGGAGGCAGCAGUGGGGAAUUUUGGACAAUGGGCGAAAGCCUGAUCCAGCAAUGCCGCGUGAGUGAAGAAGGCCUUCGGGUUGUAAAGCUCUUUUGUCAGGGAAGAAACGGUGAGAGCUAAUAUCUCUUGCUAAUGACGGUACUGAAGA
rnacentral:rRNA from 1 species